AUACGAAGGUCCCAAGCGUUAUUCGGAAUCACUGGGCGUAAAGAGUAUGUAGGCGGUUUGGUAAGUCAGGUGUGAAAUCCCGAAGCUCAACUUCGGAACUGCAUCCGAUACUGCUAGACUUGAGUAAUGGAGAGGCAGGUGGAAUUCUCGGUGUAGCAGUGAAAUGCGUGGAUAUCGAGAGGAAGACCAAUGGCGAAGGCAGCCUGCUGGACAUUUACUGACGCUGAGAUACGAAGGCUAGGGUAGCGAAAGGGAUUAGAAACCCGAGUAGUCC
rnacentral:rRNA from 1 species